rnacentral:sRNA from 2 species
CUGCUGCUAUUCAACAUGGAAUCUGCCUGCCAAUCUGCCUGCCAACCUGCAUGCCAAUCUGUCUGUCAAUCUGCAUGUCAAUCUGCCUGCCAACCUGUGUGUCAAUCUGUCAAUCAGAUGAGUAUUCUAUUUCUUCAUCUGAAUCUGCUCAAUCCAUGUCUGUAUCUUCUUUUGUGACAGAUUCUUCUAUAUCUGCUCUCAUACUCUAACAGCUUCUGUAUGAUUCUUAGAAGCUUCUUUUCUUGUUGUUCUGCACUUCAUCCAGAGUCAAGCUGCCUCAAUUGCAUUGAGAUCAGAUGAAUUCCCACAUCAAAGCAGCUGUUGAAUCCCAUGAAUAUUGUACAUAUAACAUUGAAUAUAGUGAUUGUGUGAAG